UGAUUAUUAAAUAGCCGCAAUUAGUGCUAAGGUAGCAUAAUCAUUUGYCUUUUAAAUGAAGACCAGAACAAAAGAUUUAACAUUUUAAUUUAUUUAUUUAAAUAUUUAAUUAAAUUUACCUAAAAAGUAAAAAGGCUUUUCUAAAAAAGAAAGACGACAAGACCCUAUCGAACUUAACUUAAGUUUAACUGGGGUAGUAAAUUAAUUAUUAUUUUAUAAUUAAACUAUUAUUCAAAUAUCCUUAAAUUGAUAAUCCAGUUACCGUAGGGAUAACAGCGCAAUUAAAUUUUAAAGUUCUCAUUUAAAAUAUAGAUUACGACCUCGAUGUUGAAUUAAUAACCUAUUUCAAGCAAAUUUCAAAAAAGGAAGUCUGUUCGACUUUUAAUAAAUUACAUGAUUUGAGUUCAGACCGGUAUAAGCCAGGUCGGUUUCAAUCUUCUAAAAACUCUUUUACAGUACGAAAGGACCUAAAAAUAUAAUUUAAUUAACUAAUUGGCAGAUUAAUGCAUUAGAAUUAGAAUCUAAUUAAAAUUAU
rnacentral:rRNA from 1 species